ensembl:snoRNA
CAGAUACAAUGAUGAUGGCAUAGUUCAGCAGAAUAUCCUGUGACGAGCAGAGCUUUGUCUUUCGCUCCUAUCUGAUGUAUCUA